rnacentral:rRNA from 1 species
CCUACGGGUGGCAGCAGUGGGGAAUAUUGCACAAUGGGGGAAACUCUGACCCAGCAACGCCGCGUGAAUGAUGAAGGUCUUCGUAAUGUAAAGUUCUUUUAACAGGGAAGAAAGAGAAAUUUGACGGUACCUGAAGAAUAAGCUCCGGCUAACUACGUCCCAGCAGCCGGGGUAAUACGUAGGAAGCGAGCGUUUUCCGGAAUUAUUGGGCGAAAAGGGUGGGUAGAUGGCAUAGUAAGUCUUUUGUAAAAAUGCUGGGCUCAACCCAGUAGGGCAAAAGAUACUGCAAAGCUAGAGUAUGACAGAGGCAAGUGGAACGACAGGUGUAGCGGUAAAAUGCGUAAAUAUAUGGAAGAACACCAGUGGCGAAGGCGGCUUGCUGGGUCGAUACUGACAUUGAGGCACGAAAGCGUGGGGAGCAAACAGGAUUAGAUACCCGGGUAGUC